CACUACGAAGCUUAGAGCGUUAACCUU
rnacentral:tRNA from 1 species